GACGAACGCUGGCGGCGUGCUUAACACAUGCAAGUCGAACGGAAAGGCCCUUCCUUUGUCGGGUGCUCGAGUGGCGAACGGGUGAGUCACACGUGAGUAACCUGCCCUUGACUUUGGGAUAACUUCAGGAAACUGGGGCUAAUACCGGAUAGGAGCUCCUGCUGCAUGGUGGGGGUUGGAAAGUUUCGGCGGUUGGGGAUGGACGCGCGGCUUAUCAGCUUGUUGGAGGGGUAUUGGCUUACCAAGGCUUUGACGGGUAGCCGGCAUGAGAGGGUGAACGGGCACAUUGGGACUGCGAUACGGCCCAGACUCCUACGGGAGGCAGCAGGGGGGAAUAUUGCACAGUGGGCGGAAGCCUGAGGCAGCAGCGUCGCGUGUGGGAUGACGGCCUUCGGGUUGUGAACCGCUUUCGCCUGUGACGGAGCGGGAAUGACGGUAAUGGGUAAAGAAGCACCGGCUAACUACGUG
rnacentral:rRNA from 1 species